GCUUCUGGCGCCAAGCUUCCGUCC
rnacentral:miRNA from 1 species